AGUGGGAUACCUGGGUCAAAUGGUGGUUCCAUUUCCAGUUUUCCAAGGAAUCUUCAUACUGUUUUUCAUAUUGGCUGCACCAGUUUGCAGUCCCACCAGCAAU
rnacentral:pre_miRNA from 1 species